rnacentral:lncRNA from 1 species
UUGAUAUAAGAUUAAUUGAGGCGAUUGCUGCGAGUGGAGUGUUGUGUUCUUGGGCUUGCACUGCAUCGAAUGCUCUUUCGAGGUUCAUGAUAGGGAUGUUUGUAGCUAGUAGUCAUCGGUGUUCAGCCCGAGUAAAAUUGCGUGCCCUUCUUUGGUUUCUCUGUUCAAAAGUUUCAUCCUGCGGGGCGUUAGCUGAUGACUCAUCUUCUGAAAUGUUGUUGAGUUGU